rnacentral:rRNA from 1 species
UGGCGAACGGGUGAGUAAUGUAUCGGAACGUGCCCAGUAGCGGGGGAUAACCACUCGAAAGAGUGGCUAAUACCGCAUACGCCCUACGGGGGAAAGGGGGGGAUCCUUCGGGACCUCUCACUAUUGGAGCGGCCGAUAUCGGAUUAGCUAGUUGGUGGGGUAAAGGCCUACCAAGGCGUCGAUCCGUAGCUGGUUUGAGAGGACGACCAGCCACACUGGGACUGAGACACGGCCCAGACUCCUACGGGAGGCAGCAGUGGGGAAUUUUGGACAAUGGGGGCAACCCUGAUCCAGCCAUCCCGCGUGUGCGAUGAAGGCCUUCGGGUUGUAAAGCACUUUUGGCAGGGAAGAAAAGGCUCUGGUUAAUACCUGGAGCUGCUGACGGUACCUGCAGAAUAAGCACCGGCUAACUACGUGCCAGCAGCCGCGGUAAUACGUAGGGUGCAAGCGUUAAUCGGAAUUACUGGGCGUAAA